GAUUGAACGCUGGCGGCAGGCCUAACACAUGCAAGUCGAACGGUAACAGGAAGAAGCUUGCUUCUUUGCUGACGAGUGGCGGACGGGUGAGUAAUGUCUGGGAAACUGCCUGAUGGAGGGGGAUAACUACUGGAAACGGUAGCUAAUACCGCAUAACGUCGCAAGACCAAAAAGGGGGACCUUCGGGCCUCUUGCCAUCGGAUGUGCCCAGAUGGGAUUAGCUAGUAGGUGGGGUAACGGCUCACCUAGGCGACGAUCCCUAGCUGGUCUGAGAGGAUGACCAGCCACACUGGAACUGAGACACGGUCCAGACUCCUACGGGAGGCAGCAGUGGGGAAUAUUGCACAAUGGGCGCAAGCCUGAUGCAGCCAUGCCGCGUGUAUGAAGAAGGCCUUCGGGUUGUAAAGUACUUUCAGCGGGGAGGAAGGGAGUAAAGUUAAUACCUUUGCUCAUUGACGUUACCCGCAGAAGAAGCACCGGCUAACUCCGUG
rnacentral:rRNA from 1 species